rnacentral:rRNA from 1 species
AACGAACGCUGGCGGCAUGCUUAACACAUGCAAGUCGAACGGGACGUUCGGGCUUUGUGGCGCACGGGGGGGGAAGGCGGGGGAACUUGCACUUAGGUAAGGAAUAACUCCCCGAAGGGGGAGCUAAGACCGGUUAAUGUCAUCGGGCAAAAGAUUUGGUGCUGGGGGAUGGGGAGGGGGCGGUUUCGCUUGUUGGGGGGGUAAGAGCGUACCAAGGCAAUGAUGGGUAGCUGGUCGGAGAGGAUGACCGGCCACAUUGGGACUGAGAUACGGCCCAGACUCGUACGGGAGGCAGCAGUGGGGAAGAGUGCACAAUGGGCGGAAGCCUGAUGCAGCAACGCCGCGUGCGGGAUGACGGCCUUCGGGUUGUAAACCGCUUUCGCCUGUGACGAAGCGUGAGUGACGGUAAUGGGUAAAGAAGCACCGGCUAACUACGUG